AUGAUCGACUUUGUUGUCGUUUCAUCUGACCUGCGGCCACAUGUCUUGGACACUCGGGUGAAGAGAGGGGCGGAGCUGUCAACUGAUCACCACCUGGUUGUGAGUUGGAUCCGAUGGCGGGGGAGGAAGCUGGACAGACUCGGCAGGCCCAAGCGUACUGUAAGGGUCUGCUGGGAACGUCUGGCCGAGUCUCCUGUCAGAGAGAUCUUUAACUCCCACCUCCGGCAGAGCUUUGACUGGAUCCCGAGGGAGGUUGGAGAUAUUGAGUCCGAGUGGACCAUGUUCUCCACCGCCAUUGUCGAAGCGGCCGCUCUGAGCUGUGGCCGUAAGGUCUCCGGUGCCUGUCGAGGCGGCAAUCCCCGAACCCGGUGGUGGACACCGGAAGUAAGGGAUGCCGUCAAGCUGAAGAAGGAGUCCUAUCAGGCCUGGUUGGCUUGUGGGACUCCAGAGGCAGCUGACGGGUACAGACAGGCCAAGCGGACUGCAGCCCAGGUGGUUGUGGAGGCAAAAACUCGGGCCUGGGAGGAGUUCGGUGAGGCCAUGGAGAAGGACUAUCGGCUGGCCUCGAAGAGAUUCUGGCAAACCAUCCGGCGCCUCAGGAGAGGGAAACAGUGCCCUACCAACGCUGUUUACAGUAGAGGUGGGCAGCUGUUGACCUCAACUGGGGAUGUCGUCGGGCGGUGGAAGGAGUACUUCGAGGAUCUCCUCAAUCCCGCCGUCACGUCUUCCAUUGAGGAAGCAGAGGAUGAGGGCUCAGAGGUGGACUCGUCCAUCACCCGGGCUGAAGUCACCGAGGUGGUUAAGAAACUCCUCGGUGGCAAGGCACCGGGGGUGGAUGAGAUCCGCCCUGAGUACCUCAAGUCUCUGGAUGUUGUGGGGCUGUCUUGGUUGACACGCCUGUGCAACAUCGCCUGGCGGUCGGGGACAGUGCCUCUGGGAUGGCAGACCCCCACGGCAUCUUGUGGAGGGUGCUUCGGGAAUAUGGGGUCCUGGGUCCUUUGCUAA
rnacentral:lncRNA from 1 species